rnacentral:rRNA from 1 species
ACACUCCUGCGGGAGGCAGCAGUAGGGAAUCUUCGGCAAUGGGGGCAACCCUGACCGAGCAACGCCGCGUGAGUGAAGAAGGUUUUCGGAUCGUAAAGCUCUGUUGUAAGUCAAGAACGAGUGUGAGAGUGGAAAGUUCACACUGUGACGGUAGCUUACCAGAAAGGGACGGCUAACUACGUGCCAGCAGCCGCGGUAAUACGUAGGUCCCGAGCGUUGUCCGGAUUUAUUGGGCGUAAAGCGAGCGCAGGCGGUUUGAUAAGUCUGAAGUUAAAGGCUGUGGCUCAACCAUAGUUCGCUUUGGAAACUGUCAAACUUGAGUGCAGAAGGGGAGAGUGGAAUUCCAUGUGUAGCGGUGAAAUGCGUAGAUAUAUGGAGGAACACCGGUGGCGAAAGCGGCUCUCUGGUCUGUAACUGACGCUGAGGCUCGAAAGCGUGGGGAGCGAACAGGAUUAGAAACCCCGGUAGUCC